rnacentral:rRNA from 1 species
CAUUUCUAGCUUGCUAGAAGAUGACCAGUGGCGGACGGGUGAGUAAUGCUUGGGAACUUGCCUUUAGGAGGGGGAUAACAGUUGGAAACGACUGCUAAUACCGCAUAAUGUCUACGGACCAAAGGGGGCUUCGGCUCUCACCUAAAGAGAGGCCCAAGUGAGAUUAGCUAGUUGGUAAGGUAAAAGCUUACCAAGGCGACGAUCUCUAGCUGUUCUGAGAGGAAGAUCAGCCACACUGGGACUGAGACACGGCCCAGACUCCUACGGGAGGCAGCAGUGGGGAAUAUUGCACAAUGGGGGAAACCCUGAUGCAGCCAUGCCGCGUGUGUGAAGAAGGCCUUCGGGUUGUAAAGCACUUUCAGUUGUGAGGAAAGGUUGGUAGUUAAUACCUGCCAGCUGUGACGUUAACAACAGAAGAAGCACCGGCUAACUCCGUGCCAGCAGCCGCGGUAAUACGGAGGGUGCGAGCGUUAAUCGGAAUUACUGGGCGUAAAGCGCACGCACGCGGUUUGUUAAGCUAGAUGUGAAAGCCCCGGGCUCAACCUGGGAUGGUCAUUUAGAACUGGCAGACUAGAGUCUUGGAGAGGGGAGUGGAAUUCCAGGUGUAGCGGUGAAAUGCGUAGAUAUCUGGAGGAACAUCAGUGGCCAAAGGGGGCU